rnacentral:lncRNA from 1 species
CAGGGUAUCCCGCGGAUGCGCAUCCGACCCCCCACGACACGACGCCAACCUGCCGUAAGUCGGACGCGCGCACGAGCGGCCCGCCGCUGUCGCCUUGGCACGAGUCUUUCCCCAUCUCACCCGCGCACAACAUCGACUCGGGAACAAUAUCUGAUCCGUAGUUUGUCUGACAGUCCGAGGUCGACACCGCGGGGACGGUGACCUCCAGAAGGACACUCGACGGGUCCCCACCGGAUUCGGUUGUCCCCCAGCCCAUCGCGAUCAAAUUUUCGCCGGCGCUCGCGCCCUCGCCGACGUCGGUCGUGUCGAAGUCAAGAACGACGGGCUCAUACCUCGAGUUACUCUUCAACGUCACGACCGCGAAGUCCCAAUUCGUGGUAUCAGCAUCGUAGUAAGGAUGGUUCACGGCGUAAUCGAUCUCGAGGACAUCUGUGAUCGAGGGAUCGUACACAGAAGAGUUGUGCCAGUUUACGUAGGCAACGGUCGCCCAAUUAUCGGUGAACAUGCAGUGCGCGGCGGUCAGCACCUUGUUCGGGGCGACCAACGACCCGCCGCACCCGUUAAACCCAACCAUCCACUCGUACGUGUGCGGGUCAACCUCGGUGCCGCCGACGAUCCGCGUGCUCAUCGUCGGGGUCGAUCUAUAGGCCGCGUCGUCGGUCUCGCCGUCCACAAUCUGCGUGAUGUUCGCGUGUUCGUGAUCCGCCGUUCUCAGCUCGAACACGUCGNNNNNNNNNNNNNNNNNNNNNNNNNNNNNNNNNNNNNNNNNNNNNNNNNNNNNNNNNNNNNNNNNNNNNNNNNNNNNNNNNNNNNNNNNNNNNNNNNNNNCCUUGCUGGACAUGUCGUCUUUCAACACGCCGACGGCUAAUCUCGGUGCCGUCGCCGGACAACGACAAGACGCCCCCACGGUAAUCGUCGUACACUUGACGUGUCUCCACGUCAUCUCCCACUUGGCUCCAGCCAAUGUUGGGAUCGAACGAGAACACGCUCAACACGCUAACUCCAAUUAGCUUCGCCGGCUGCUCACACGCUUGCGUCACGCCCUGCGAGCACAACCACGUCUUUGCCUUCGUCGCGGACACCCUGGAGUACACCCCAGGGUAUCCCGCGGAUGCGCAUCCGACCCCCCACGACACGACGCCAACCUGCCGUAAGUCGGACGCGCGCACGAGCGGCCCGCCGCUGUCGCCUUGGCACGAGUCUUUCCCCAUCUCACCCGCGCACAACAUCGACUCGGGAACAAUAUCUGAUCCGUAGUUUGUCUGACAGUCCGAGGUCGACACCGCGGGGACGGUGACCUCCAGAAGGACACUCGACGGGUCCCCACCGGAUUCGGUUGUCCCCCAGCCCAUCGCGAUCAAAUUUUCGCCAGCGCUCGCGCCCUCGCCGACGUCGGUCGUGUCGAAGUCAAGAACGACGGGAUCAUACCUCGAGUUACUCUUCAACGUCACGACCGCGAAGUCCCAAUUCGUGGUAUCAGCAUCGUAGUCGGGAUGGUUCACGGCGUAAUCGAUCUCGAGGACAUCUGUGAUCGAGGGAUCGUACACAGAAGAGUCGUGCCAGUUUAUGUAGGCAACGGUCGCCCAAUUAUCGGUGAACAUGCAGUGCGCGGCGGUCAGCACCUUGUUCGGGGCGACCAACGACCCGCCGCACCCGUUAAACCCAACCAUCCACUCGUACGUGUGCGGGUUAACCUCGGUGCCGCCGACGAUCCGCGUGCUCAUCGUCGGGGUCGAUUUAACAGCCGUGGCGUCGGUCUCGCCGUCCACGACCUGCGUGAUGUUCGCUUCUCUGAGAUACUCGAUCGCCACGAUCGAGCCGUCGUCGGAUAAAGACGUGGUGAAGAAAGUCGACGCGUUCGCGGACGCGGGAACCAUAUCCGCGAUCUCUUCGCGGCCGACAGUUCUCCACUCCGACUUCGAAUCGCAACUGGAGUCGCAGAACGUGUCCUCGCCGUAAAUGUCGCCUCCCUGAGGACUCGUCGAGCCAAAGGGACACGGCACGCACGCGUGAUCGAGGACGUAAUGAUCCGCGGCACACGAGCACGAAGUGUUGCCCAGAUGCGGAUCGUCCCCCGGGGCCCUCGUUGACGUCUCGGGACACGGCACGCACGCGUGAUCGAGGACGUAAUGAUCCGCGGCACACGAGCACGAAGUGUCGCCCUGAUGCGGAUCGUCUCCUGGGGGCCUCGAUGACGUCCCGUUACACGGUACGCACGCGUGAUCGAGAACGUGAUGAUCCGCGGGACAUCCGCACGAAGUGUUAGGUCCGCUCCAGUCGUCCCCGGGAGGGUUCACCGCGCCGACCGGGCACGCCGCGCACGCGUUGUCCUGGACGUGGAAAUCUUCUGGACACGGCGGGGGCGGCCACGUCCUGGACGAGUUGUAUCCGCAGGAGCGAACGAACGCCGUGGGGUAGUUGCCGGUCCCGACCGAGAGAAGCCCGUGCCUGCGUUCCGGAGCUGGAAACAGAUUCCUCUCGCCUUGCGCGUUCACUAAGAAUCCGUCCCGGUACUGAUCCCCGAGCGCGUAAAACGCCGCGACGCACCCCGGGUCCGUGUUAUCGAACUGCACGUUUCCGUACAUCCGCCCUCCGCUGGUCGCGGCCUGGCCGCUGAAACGGCUGCCGUCCAUCGCGAGCUUAGCGCUGACGUUCUUGUCGUAAGGGUCGUUGUCUGGAUCUUCGUCGCAUCGAAACGCCGCCCAGUCCGCCGCGGACGCGAUUCCGGUCCCGGCGGUCGGCGAGCUCACCCCCCAAUCAGCGAACGUGUCGUACCCGUCGAUCGUCUUAUUCGUCGCGCCGCUCUCGCACGAAGGGUGUAUCCACGGCCCGCCUUCGACGUCCGACGUCUUAUCCAGCGCGAACGCCUUGAACGCGAUCGCGCGACCAACCCCUUUCACGACGAGAGGCUCGGACACGUUCAUCGCCGCGCACGUCGUCGUCACCACGCACGGCCGCGACGACGCCAAGUCGUGUUGGAUCCCAAACUGGUCAAACUCGUGCAUGCCGUCGCACGUCGCGUCGUUUCCGAACGAUACGAACCGCGCGCCUGGGAUUUUCGCCGCGACGCGUUCGCACGUCGCCGCCGUGGACGCGUCCGGGUGGCACAACGCGACGCCGCCGUCGACGCCGAGCAGCUCGGUCGCGGCGACGACGGCGUGCUCGGGCAGCCCGGUGUACCACGCCGCAUCGAGCGCGUUCAGCGCGGUCGCGUUCGUCUCCACGCACACGCCCGCGCCGAUGAACGAAGGGCCUUCGCGGAAGAACACCUGAAACGUCCAGUCCCCGGGCGUCAACUUCGAGUCCGGCGCGGUGCCCCAGUGAAAGUUGAUGAUUCCGCCGUUGUAGCACCCGCCGAAACACUUCUUGGAUCCAGACGCGUCCGGAUACCUCGGGUGUUGCGAGAUCCCGACGGUGUCGCCGCCGGGCGCCACGCAACCGGCCUUCGUGCACGUGUUGAGCGUGUUCGCGUCCGCGAUUUCGUUCCCGUUCGCGUCGUACAACCUCCCCAUCGCGAUGAUAUGCUGACUGCUCCCCGUCCCGCACCCGCCGGUCGCGUUCCAGUCCAUCCCGGCGCAGAACGCCUCCACGACGAAUCGAACGUGGUCGCCGCCGUCGCCGGUUUGCAGCGCCGCGCUCGCGUUCGCGAACGCGCCGCCGCGCGGGAUCCUUCGAAUCACGAACUCGUCCCCCGGCUGCGGCCGGAACGAGUACGCCCAAUUCCGCGCGUACGUCGUGUGAUUCGUCAUCGCGUCCUCGGCCUCGCCCACGUCGACCGCGAACGGGUUCGUCGCCCCGGGAAAGUCCGCCGUGGGGUCCGUCUGCGACAGGAGCAGCGUCCACCCGCCGCCGUCGAAGCGUUGGUCGCAUCCGACCUUCACGAGGGGUCUCGCGCCCCACCACGUCCCUCUCGGGUCGAUCGUCGCGGUCGCCGCGUCGUCGUACCCGCGAUCGCGGUACGUCUUGCACGAGUACGCCCCCGGCGUCGCGGGCGGCGGCGGCGGAGGUUCGUACGGCGGCCUUCCGCCGAAGCCCCAGCGCGCGAGCUCGAGCUCGGACGCCUCGUCGCACUCGCCGGGCACGAGCGGAGGCUUCGGCUCCGCCCACGGCGCGUCGUCGUCCCAUCGCGCCGUGCUCAGGUCCGCGGCGCGCGCCGGCGUCGAAGACGCGGCGAGGAAGAGGACGAGCGCGAGGAGACGCGCGCGCGUUCGCCGCGUCGUCGUCGCGGACGCCAUCGCGAGCUUGAAAAAAAGAAGCGCCCUUCGCGACAAAGCGCCCCGGCGGCGCGGGUUCUCUCGAGCCGCCCGCGACGCGCGGCGCGGCAGAGAGGCGCUUCGCCGCGAAGAACGCGAGACGCGCCGCGCGGGUCUCGUCGGCCGCGCGGAGCGACGAGACCUCGGGACGACCGCGCGACGAUCGAGUGCGUCGCGUGCUUAGCAAGGGAGAGAGGCAAACGGGCCGCGGCUCCUCUGAAGCACUCCUUGAAGCGACCACGAAACGACGGACCGGUCAACGCAGGUCUACGUGGCACGUUCGUGGGCUCGAUUUUACCUUUCAAAAUUUCGCCCUGACCGUGACUCUCGUUGAAUUUUAUUUUUGCACGCGCACGUGCCGAUUUCGUUUCGCACGCGUCGACGCUCUCUCUCGUCGUCUCCCUCUCCCUCGUCUUCCCUCCUCGACCGCCUCUCGUCCAUCACCUCAGCGGAACUUGAUCGACACGAGCGGGACGUCGAUGUCCUCGCCCUCCUCGUCCUCGCACGCGACGACGAUGUCGAAGUGCGACCGCUUCUCCGGCACCUCCAGCUUCGCCACCGUCCGCACGAGGUCGCUCACCUUUUGAUCCAUGCGCUCUCUGUGCUUGGGGAAGAUGUUGUUGUAAAUCAGCGACUGCCCGCACGACACGGAGUACGCCGUGAGCUCCUUCGCGGCGAACCAGUCCAGAAGCUCCUUCACCGUGAAGUCGCCCUCUAACACCCAGCGAUCCCACAGCGUCCACUUCAGGUCUUUGAACGCGAAAGACUUGGGCGCGAUGGGCUCCGCCAUCGCGAACAGCGGCAGCGCCAAGUUGGCGAACGUGUUCCGGUACGCCUCCAUCUUCGCGCCGUUGAGCGCCUUGUACAGCUCGAGACACACCAACCCGGUCGCCAUCGCCGUCGUCGUCGCGAUCGCGGGGAUGAUCCGCCCGGCGAUGAACUUCGCCUUGAGCUUGUCCACCUCCGGGAUGUCGUAGUUCCUCGCGCGCAUGUUGCUCAGACCCGCGAUGGCGUCCAUGUGGAAGUUGGAGUCGUCGUCCUUCUCGAACUCGAUCACCUCGAGACGGUAGUCCGCCGUGAACGUCGCGCGCACGGCGUCAAGCUUCUCGAGGAGGUCGUUGAUCGUGGCCUCGUCGUCCAUGUCCGAGCCCGAAACCGCCGCGGUCGCCUUCGGGUCCGUCUCGAUCUUGACCCCGGUCUUGGGCUCGAACGGCGCGACGGGCACCGCGUCCACGGCGGCGGCGAACGCCGCGUCGUCCGUGACCCACUCCGGUCUCGUCACGCCGUGCACCUCCGCUUUCAGGUUCGCCAUCGCGCGCAUCAAGACCAGGUUCGAGGCGUCCGACGUCGAGAACGUGAGCGCGUGAGGGAACCGCUUCGGGGCGGACCAGAACGCGUUCCCCGUGGACGUGACGCAGUCCUGGGGAAACGUGUACACGAGCUGCGCGAUCUUGUCGUGGAAGACCUCUUGGAACCGAAGUCUGGCCCACCGCACGCAUUCCUCGUACGUCGAGCACCGCGAGCCGAGGAGGCACUCCGCGGCUUUCUCGACGUUCUCCCGCGCGGACGCGUCCCCGGCCGCUCGCGCGGCGGCGGCGUACUCCUCCGGCUUGGCGAGGUACGCGUUCGCCUCCGCGGGGGACUUUUCAAACGCGCCUUCGAAUUCGCUCCGCGCCCACGUCAGGCAGUGAUCGAUGUUGUGCGGGAACGAAUGCAGCGUGCACAUCGGCGCGGACUUCUCCGGGGGAUCGCGCGACGCGCCGUAAUUCUCCGUGAGUCCGGGGAUCACCAUCUGCGUGUUGCACUUCGUCCCGAGCGUCCCGGACUCGAGAAGCGGCUUUCCAAAGUACACGCACCGCGAGUCGACGUACAGACGCGCGUUGACGUUAUCGAGCGCGUUCACGACGACGUCCAGACCGGACCAAAACGCGUCGUCGAACACGUCCUCGGUGUCCGGGGAGACGCGAUUUUGCAGCGGGACGACGUUGAGCUUCGCGUUGAUCGCCUUGGCCGCGUUGGCCGCGCAGUCGCUCUUCGCCUGGCCGAUGUUCCAGUCGCGGAACAGAAACUGCCGCGAGAGGUUCGACUUUUCGAUGACGUCGUCGUCCGUGACCGUGACUUUCCCUUCUUCGCCGCAGCAGAGCCCCAUGAGCGCGAAGUUCUUGAUGAACUCGCACCCGAGCGCGCCCGCGCCGACGAGGAAGAUCUUCUGUUUCUCGAUCUUCCGCUGAAGCGUGCGGCCGAAGCACGCGAUUUGCGCGUCGUACCUGCUCCCUUCCGGGGCCACCUCCUCCGCCGUGAGCGUCUCGAUCGGCGGCAGCGACUCCACGGAGUCGAAGUAGAACCACUGAAACAGCGGGUGAAACUUCCCCGUGCACGCCUUCACCACCUCCUGGCCGAUGACGCCGCCGAACAUCGCGCACAUCGGCGAGACGCACCCGCGCGACGUCUUCGCGAGGAGCGUCAGCACGCCGUCCGGGUCCACGUCAUCCAGCUUCGCGCCCGCGGGCGCGGCCGCGUUGAGCUCGUUCGCGACGGCGACGACCGCGGCGGCGUCCGCGUCGUCCCCGGGCUUCGGGAGCUCGCCGCCGUUCGACGCGGCGAACUUUUCGAGCGCGGCGAACCCGAGGUGCAACGCGGGCGACCGCUCGAGUUUGGAAAAGUCGGACAAGAGGAACUCCCCGGGGUCCGCCAUCGCGUCCUUCAGCGUCUUGAACUUCAGCGUCUUCGUCUCCUUCACCUGCGUCGCGAUCCCGCCGCCGGUGUACGCGCCGUACGACGUCGUGUCCUCUUCGAGCUGGAACGAGUGCGCCUUGACGUUUUUUAUUUUCCGCGGCUUUCCGUCGUUGAGUUCGGUCAUCCCUCUCACCUCCGUGAAGAUCACGGACUGCCCGUCCUGGAGCUCGACGCGGUCGUCGUCCACGCACGUCACCAUCGGCGUCGCCUCGUUGCUCACGCUCGCUACGAUGCACGUGUGCGGCUCCUCGCCGUCCGUGUCCGCGACGUGAAACGCCGGGCCGAAGUCGCAGAAGAGCGAUCCGAAGACGCCUCGAACGUCGCCGCGAACGAACGCGAUCCCGUUGUCGUGGCAGAAGGCGUCGAUCGCGGUCGCCCUCUCGAGCGGAACGUCCGUGCAGACGACCACCUGAUGCUUCGCGCAGAGCGCGUCGGAGAUCUCGUCCGCGACGACGGUGACCGCGACCGCGGGGUUGAGCUCCUGGAGCCUCCCCGCGCACGCGGUCGCGCGGUUCGCGCCGACGUCCGCCUCGGCGAGGUAAAACUGCGCGCUCAGAUCUGAGAGCUCGCACGCGGUGGUGUCCUGGAGCGUGACCGCUUUCACGCCGGCGAGGAUGACGUUCUUCGCGAUCUCCGCGCCGAGGCCUCUCAUGCCGCAGAUCAGCACGCUCGCGCCCGCGAGACGUCGCAUGGACUCGCGGCCGUAGACGGCGAGCUGCCGGGAGUGGAGAUCCUCGUCGAUCUCGCCCGCCGCCGUCAUCGUGUCCACGCGCUGCUUCUUGGCGGUGGGUUCGGGGGACUUCUCGUGAGCUCUCUUCGUGGGCGCAGUUGUCAUCAACGUUCGUUACGUCUGCGAUGCCUGGUCGGGGGACGAGGCCUCGUGCGCGCGCGGCGAAAGUGCGUCGGACGACCGAUACGACGCGACGUUCCAGUCAUCAAAUAUUCGAAACUCAAAAGUCGCGUUUCAUCCCGCUGCUGCGAGCUACCGCGCAGUUCUCGCAUCGCGCGCGACGACGGCGACGAUGGCGACGACGGCGACGAUGGCGACGCGCGUCGCCUCCGCGCGGUGCCACCGCGCGUUCGCGCGCCGCGUCCUCGCGUCGCACGUCCCGCGACGCGUCCGCGUGUUUCGAGCGCGUCGCGACGACGACGACGACGACGACGCCGACGACGCGUCCGACGAGAAGACGCGAACGUCCGUCGACACCGAGCUCUCGAACCGAUGGAUCGACUUAGACCCGGCGGGGUACUUCCUCGUGAAGGUGGACCACGCGACGCGAACGAUCGAGGCGGCGCACUUCGAGAACGCGAUCGACGACGCCGGCAGGGCGUGCGACCCGGUCACGGGCGAGGUCAUCCCGUGCGACGGGUCCUACCGGAAGCCGGCGGCGUCGGCGACGUUCGCGGGGCGCACCGCGAAGGAGAUCAGCGUGAAGAUAUUAGAGACGGAGGAGGGCGAAGGGCUGUGCACGAUGCUCGUGCACGCGAACUACCUGGGGAGGGAGUUCCAGCGCGCGGAGGCGUGCCUGAGGGAAGGGACGGAGUACGUGCAAGACUGACGGCGGCGACGGCGGCGACGGCGCGUCCGCGGAAUAGAUGGAGCGUUCUCGCCGCUUGAAAAACGCACGCCGCUACGUAGCCUCGCGCCGCCCACCCCCGCGCGCGACAGACACCUCGAACCCCCGCGCGUCACAAGAAGUAGUCCGGACACCUCACCGGUCCGUCCCCGGUCUUUUGCGCCUCCCCCCGCCGCGGCGCCGGGUCAAACUGCAAAAACUCGCUCGUCAUGUCGUCGCUCACCUCCAUGAUCGACGCCUGGUUCCCGCACCGGUAGCAGUAAUUCGGCGCGGAGAAGAUCGUCACCAAGCUCUGAUCGUGGUGCCACAGGUACCCCUCCAUGACGAGCUGGUGCGCGCGCGCGAUCAUCUUCAGCCCGUUGGCGUGGUUAAACUGCUCGCUGAUGUCUUGCCCGAACGUGUACCCCGCGCCUCUCGGGGACAUCCCCCACCCCGUGCGAUCGUCCGGAUCGGACCACACUAAAUCGCACACCGGCCCCUCGUGCGGGACCUCCUGGAACCGGUCGAUCUUCCGGACGUCCUCGAGGGAGUCGAUCGACGGGGACAGCCCGCCGUGCGGACAGAAGAUCUGGUUCUCGAUCACCGCGGUGAGGGGCAUGUAGUCGAACAGAUCCGUGAACGCCUUCCAGAUCCCGGCGUGGCCGUACUUCCGCAUGCACUCGUCGUAGAACCCGUACACUUGCGUGAUCUGCCGCGACUCGUGGUUCCCGCGGAUGAUCGUCACGCGGUCCGGGUACCUCACCUUCAGCGCGACGACGAGCGUCACGGUCUCGACGCUGUAGUACCCGCGAUCGACGUAGUCUCCCAAGAAGAGAUAGUUCGUAUCCGGAGCGUACCCGCCCAUCUUAAACAUCUCGAGCAGGUCGUGGAACUGCCCGUGGAUGUCUCCGACGACCGUCACCGGCGCUCGCACCGCGUGGACGUUGCUCUCCUCCGUGAGCAGCGUCUUCGCGCGCUCGCACAGGGAGAGGACGUCCUUCUCGGGGAGAAACUCGUGCUCGAGGAGCGUCGCGACCAUCGCGUCGUAGGUCGGGAACUCCUCCCCGUCGAGGCGUCCCAUGACGACCGACGAGCGCGCUCGUUCGCGAGAGACGCGUGCGCGCGAAGGAAGGGGGGAGGAGGAGGAGCGCGGGCGAGUUGACCGCGAGAGCGCGCGGCUCGCGCGUCUGUGACCGGGCGCGCGGAUCGGAGGCGGCGUUCAAAAGCCGCGCCCCAUAACCAAUCGACAAGGUGCGCUGAUGCGAUAAUUCGAUUCAGACUAAAAAGCCAUAGAGUACGUGUACAGUACGCAAAUUUUCGUAUUGAAUCUUUUUGCUGGGAACCCGAGCGAAGCCGCAGCCGCGCGGCGCGGAUCGGUUCCGAGAAAUCACGCCCUCCCCCGCGCUCUCCCUCCCUCGCGCUCUCAGUUCCCGAGGCGCGAGCUCGAAGUUUGACGCGAUGCCGCCGAAGAAGCCGGGCGCGGGGCUCGCGAGCGCGAAGAAGCGCCCGCACGAGGCGCCGACCAAGGGCAGGAGGGCGUUCGCGGGGACGAGACAAAAGGUGCCUCGCGCGGGAGGCGCCGCCGCGGAUCGAUUCGCCGCCGCCAAAUCCGCGGGCGGGUCCGUCCGCGGGGACGGACGCGACGGCGACGACGCGGACGGGGACGACAUGAUGGACGGCGCGCUCGACGUGGACGACGACGGCGCGCGCGGGCGCAAGGACGAGGACGACUCCGGGGACGACUCCGACGACGAGGUCAAGGAGACCGCGGACGAGAAGCGACUGCGACUCGCGAAAUCGUACCUCGAGAAGCUGCGCGCGGAGGAGGAAGAAGCCGGAGGAGACGACUCCGAGGACGACGACGACGACGCCGACGCGAGGAACUUGGACUCGCACGAUCGACUCUCGAACCGCCUGAAGAACGAGGCGAUGCAGAGCUACGGGAGGGUCCGUCGCGAGGUGGCGAGAAGACUCGUCCACGACGCGGACGACGACGACGCCGAUGACGACCGUCGCGGCGCGACGUGGCGCGGACACAAGCGCGCCGUCACGGGCGUGGCCUUGACCGAAGACGACGCGACCGCGUUCUCCGUCUCCAAGGACGGCGCGCUCGUGAGGUGGGACGUCGAGACCGGGAACAAGGACGCGUUCCCGCGAGCGCCGCCGGUGACGCUCGGAAUCGACGGCGGCGGCGGCGGCCCUCAGGUGCGUUCUAUACACUGGUUCCCAUACGACCCCGUUCGCGUGGUGAACGCCGAUCCUUAAGGACUUUGCCCGGCGUCUCUCUCCGCCCACCCCUCGCUUUCAAUCCCCGCCCUCGACGCCUUUCAACUCCAACUGACGCCUUUCAACUCCACCCCGACGUCGCUUUGUAUGGAACGGCCCUCAGUCCCCCCCCCGCUGCGGCGCGCACACGCUCCUGUGCGUCGCCGCGAGCUCGGAGCGGAACCUCGUGUGCGCCGCGGGGACGGACAAGCGCGUGCACGUGUGGGACACGCGGUCGAUGAAGCACGUGCAGGCGUUCGCGUCGCACCGCGGGUCGGUCACGAGCCUCGCGAUUCGCCAAGGCACGGGGCAGCUCUUCAGCGCGAGCGCGGAUAAGACCCUGAAAGUGUGGUCGUUAGACGACAUGGCGUACGUGGACACGCUGUUCGGGCAUCAGUCCGACGUCGUGGCCGUGCACUCGCAGAGACGCGAACGCGUCGUCACCGUGGGGAGGGACCGGACGUGUCGGUUUUGGAAAGUCGCGGAGGAUUCGCAGCUCAUCUUCCGCCCGUCCCCCGGGGACGGGCACCUGGAGUCGUGCGCGUUCACGUCCCCGGACACGUGGAUCACCGGGUCGGACGACGGCACGGUGUCGCUGUGGAGCACGACGAAGAAGCGCGCGGUGAUGAGCUGGAGGGGCGUGCACGGGUUCGGCGGCGGCGUCGACGGAGAGGGCGAGCACGGCGUCGAGGGUCCGAAAUUUUUCACGGAGGAGGAAACCGCCGCCGCCGCCAAGGCGCGCGCGGACGCGCAGUCCCUGUGCGGCGUCUCGUCGCUCACCGCGAACGCGCCUAGCGGCGUGAGCAACGCGGGAAGGUGGGUGAACGCCGUCGCCGUGGGAAAGGGCACGGACGUCUGCGCGAGCGGCGCGGGAGACGGCGCGAUUCGUCUGUGGCGCGUCUGCGACGAUCCGGGGCGCCAGCUCGUGCCUCUGUGGUGCCUGCCCGCGCGCGGGUUCGUGAACUCGCUCGCGAUCGCGUCGAGCGGGAGGUUCGUGCUCGCGGGGAUGGGGCAGGAGCCGCGGGGGGGGCGGUGGGCCAGGGACGCGGGCGCGAAGAACGGGCUGCUGCUGCAUCGGUUGAAGCUCGAGGACUGACGACGAGAAGGGAACGAGCGAGCGAGCGACAAGUUGAGCAAAUUAAAAGAAUCUUUUUAGUCUACCGAACCGCGUCGCAUCACGACCGCGUCGCCGCGUCGUCCUUCUCCGCGUCCGCGACCCUCUGCGCCGCCUGCUCGAGGAGCACGGACCCAAACCUCAGCGCCGCGGCCUGCGCCCCCGGGGCGAGCUCCGGGGCCAUCGCGAAGAGCUCCCGAAGCGUCUCUCCGUCGAUCGGCGGUCGCGGAAGCCCUGGGUUCGGCACCUCCCCGAGCACGGGCACCUCCACCCACGCCGCGCCGCUCGCGCCUUCGCCACCCGUACCGCCCGGACCCCCCGGCGCGAGCCCGGAGAUGAGCUCCCUGAGCUCCUCCGCGACGCGGAGCGUCUCCAGAUCCUCCUCCGUCUGCCUCGUCGCCGCGGCGACGGGCGCGAAAAACUCGAGCGCCGUCGGCAGCGGCGGCCGCGCCGGUCCCAUCGCCGUGAACGCCGCCUGCUGCGCGUCCGCGAGGCCGCGGAAGAGCGCCGUCGCCGGCGCCGCGGCGACGCUGGAGACAGCCUCGCUCGCGCUCGCGGCGGCGUACCGCGCCAUCUCGCGGAGCAUGAUGUCCUGCACCGGGCCGCCCUCGGGGGCGAACGCGAGACGAAGCGCCUCCUUCGCGCCGUCCGAGAGCGCCGCCGCCUUCUUCGUCGUCAAGCGUCUCUCCGUCGUCGUCAGCGCGGUGGUCUCGUCCGCGCUCGCGAUGGCCAUCGCGGUCGUCGCCGUCCCGGCGCCGGUCAUCGUGGAGUAGUUCCCGAACGCGUUCGCGAGCUGUUUCACGCGCUUGACGCUCAGGGUCGCUCUCGGACCGUCGCGGCCGUACAGAAGCUGUUCGAGCGCCGCUCGCGUGUCCGGGCUCCGGUCCGUGAGCAACCUCCGCGCGACGUACGGGUAGCACUCGUUCGCGAUGCUGUAGUUUUUAUCCGACGCGAGGCCGAUCCCCUCGAGCACGGAGAACGACCGCAGGAUGUACCCAAAGUACGACGGAAUCUGGAAGAUGUUCCCGUACUUCUCCUGGAUGCCUUCGAGGUCGCGCGUGAGCUGCGCGACUUUGCUGUCCGCGCCGCCGCUCGCCUCCAAGAACUUCUCUCGCCGCACUUUCAUGUCCUUCACGCCCUUGAGCUCUUUCCUAAUCUCCUUGAUCUUCUCCUCGUCCGGUAAACCGAGCUCGGCGCGGAAACCCUCCGCGCCGCCGCCUUUCGCGAGCGCGCUGAAGAGAAGCCCAAUCGCGGACGCGACGCCGGCGUCCUCCAUCGCCUCCCUCUUCCCGGUCGGGAUGAACCCCAUCGCGUCCAAGUCCGCGGGCACGCGCUCGAAGUCUUUCGACACGAGGUGCGCGAUGAACUUCAACGUCGCGGUGGAGAGCUCGUCCGACACCGGGGUCACGAGCCCCCAGUCCAGGAUGCACAGCUUCCCGUCCGCGGUUCGGAACAAAUUCCCCGGGUGCGGGUCCGCGUGCAACACGCCGAUGUCGAGCAACAUCGCGAGGUACGCCGCGAGCGCGACCGCGCACAGCCUCGGGACGUCCCCUUCCUCGGACGUGUCCAGCCGCUGGCCCUCGAUCCAGUCCGUGGUGAGGACUCGCCGCGUGCUCGCAACGCGCUGAACUUUCGGCGCGGUGACGACACCCGCGAGAUCCGGCCUCGACUCCAUCGCCGUUCGGAACCGUUCGCCGUUGUUCGCCUCUCUCUCGUAGUCGAGCUCCUCGACGAACCGCCUCCCCCACUCGUCGACGAGGCUCUCGAGGUCCGUGUUUAGUCCUUUGAACUUCCGCCACGGCUCCGCGAACGACCGGAUGAUCCCGACGUCCAGCGAGAUGGCGACGAGCGCGCCUGGGCGUUGCACCUUCACCGCGACGGGUUUCGUCGACCCGUCCGCGUCGCGCAGCGUCCCUCGGUACACCUGCCCGAGCGACGCGGACGCGAUCGGCGCGUCGCUCAGCGCGAGCGCGCGCGCGUUCGCGACGCCGAGCUCCGCUUCCAGGAUCCUCCGCGCGAGCGCGUCGUCGAACGGUGGCACCGCGUCUUGCAACGUCCUGAGCUCCUUCACGUACGCCGCGGGGAGUAAGUCUUGCCGCGACGACAGCACCUGCCCGAGCUUCACGUACGUCGGCCCGAGCGCGAUGAGCAGGUCGCGGAGCUGCGCCGCGCGCCUGGCGUCCACCUCGUUCUUGCGCUUCUCCUCCGGCUCGUCGCCGAGGAUCUUGCGGUCGAGCCACAGGUCGAACCCGAACCCGCCAAGGAGCCGGCCGCUCCGCGCCAUUCGCUUCAACGCGACGAGCGGUCGCUUCUUGAAGAACGCGACGAUCGCCUUCGGGUCGUACUCCUUGAGAUCGUCCGGCUCGUCCUCGCCCUCGCUCGCGGCGAGCGCGGCCCACUCGUCCAUGCCCGCGUUCGCGUUCCCGGCACCCGCGAAGCCCAAGAGGCGCGGCGCGAGCGCGAGGACGACGGCUGCGGCGGCGAACUUGGCGCCGACGCCGGCGUUCGCCGCCUCCGUCGCCGCGUCCGUCGCGACGCGCACGAGCGACGGCGGCAGCGCGGCGACGAGCGCGUCCGCGGAGCUCGCGACGUUGUCCACGAGCGCGUCCGGGAGGAGGUCCACGAGCGCUCUCGACGCGGUCGACGCCGCGACCGCGGUCGCGUCCGCGGACGCGGUCGCGCUGGAGACGAGAUCGUCGCGCGCGGCGGAGAGCGCGUCGAGCGCGCCGUCGACGCCGCGCCAGAUUUCCGCGCUGAGCUCGAGCUCGGUGGCUUUGAUCGCGCGCGCGGUCGCGGCGAGGUCCACGUCGGCGAGGUCGGGGAGAGGGCCGCCGAGCGCGCGGACGCGGACGACGCCUCCUCGCGUCGGACGUUUCGUCGACGUCACUCGCCGACGAAACGUCGACGACGACGCGACGCCGGGCGCCCGGGACGCGCUCGCGCGAGCGGCCGCGAGGCGCGACCGCGCGACGCGCGAGGUCGGACGGUGCGUCCCGACGGCCCGCGUCGCGGACGCGGCCAUCGGCGCCGUCGAGGACAUCGUCGCUCGCGUUCGCGCGGUGUCGUGCGCGCGCGGAAUGAUUGAUGUCCUCUCUCCACGCUGCAGCGAUCUCGUGGCUCUGCGUCGUCGCGGCGCGUCGCCGCGGCUGCGCGCCAAAUGCUGACAGGAGCGCGCCGCGAGCUACGAAAAAAGCGGAGCAAAAUGGUGCCGACGAUCUCAAUCAUCAGUCAUUCGUCCGACGCGCGAGGCGCGAGGCGGGGCGCGAUGGCGGACAGCCUCGUCGACCUCGGGCUGCAGGAUGCGCUGCGAUACAUCCACGUCAACCUCCUCCCGAGCGUCGUCUUGCUCGUGCGCGACGUCAGCAUGCUCGCGGUCACCGCGAUGACUUGCGUGCGUGGCGCCUCGCCCGAAUGAAUUAUAAAUUCAUCCAUCGUUCGCGCAAUUCUCCUCCUCUCCGUCCUCCGCGAUCUCCCUCGCGCCCUCCCUCCCGCCGCCGCUCGCUCACCGCGUCCGCCCCCGCCCCUCGUCCCGCUCUUCGUGUCGCAGACGUUCUUCGCGUUCAGCCUCUCUCGCUCGACGACGAUCGGCGCCGCGGCGUGGGUCGUCGCGAGGUUCGCAUGCGCGCUGUGCGCGUCGUCCGUCGUCUGGCGCGUCGUCGUCGAUCCGUUCGUGUACGCGAAGACCGCGGAGUACGUCGAGGUCGGUCGAUGGAAGCGUCUGCCGUCGCUCGGCGGGCACACGCCGUUCGACAGGAACACGCCGCGCGAGGACCCCGUGGCGCGACGGCGGCGGGCGCUCGGGCUCGGGCGCGGGACCCCGGGCGCGGCGGGGACGCCCGGGGUCGGAAGCGGCGCGAGCGGCGCGAGCGGCGGCGGCGGCGGAGGAGGAGGAGGAGGAGGAGGAGGACGCGCGUCCGCGGGCGCGCCUCGGGACGCGACGACGUCGACGCCGCGGCGGUCGCUGUUCGGUCGAUCCCCGCGCGCGCCGGAGUUUUCCGCGCACGUCUCGUCCGGGCUGAAGCUCGCGUCGAGUCCCCGCGGCGCUAGAGGGAUGACGCUCGGCGACUUGCGAGACGGCGUCGUCGUCGCGAUCGAACUCCGCGGCGUCGCCGCCGGCGGCGGCGACGGAUGGAGCGAGGGUUUCCUCCGCGUGCACGCGCACAAGACGUACGAGACCGCGGCCGCGUUCGGGGCGCUGAACUGGGGCGGGCAUCAGAUCACGUCCGCGUCGAGGGCGUCCGUGGAGUCGCUGUGCCGCGGCGAGAGGCUCGCGCGGACGCCGGGGGCGCGCGGGAACGGGAGCGUCGUCGGAGGAGGGGAGGACGACGACGACGACGGCGGCGGCGGCGGCGGCGCGCAGAGAGCGCGGACGUCCAUGGAGGCGCACUCCAGGGAGGUGUCGAGGUUCUUGUUCAAGGCGCACCUGUUCGGGAGCGGGCGGGACGUGACCCUGCGAAGCGAGAGCACCGGGACGCUCGUGACGACGUUCACGCUGGGCGUGAGGUUCGAACGACGCAGAGUCGUCGCGUGGCAUCGCACGCGGUCGAGCAAGCUCCUCACCGCGGCGGUGAGCGCGUUUACUCCUCCGGAAGGCGGCGCGUGGGAGGAGUUCUCGCUGCGGCCGGCGGCGAGGACGCCGCUCGGGUUGAGGCUGUGCGACCUCGCGGAGGCGACGGACGCGGACGAGUUCGUGAUGUGCCGCCCGCGGGACGGGACGUAUUGGGGGUACAACCUCGGCGGGGACGACAUGAUCGCGUUCACGCGGGAUCUGAAACGCGCGUCGUUGUUCCGCGUGCACCGCGCGUUCCCAGGGGACGAAGAUAGCCAUUCGGACUGACGCGCGCACGGAGAGGGAGAGUGUAUGGUAGAACGCGACGUUCAAGCGCGAGGGACUCUCUACAUCGUUCCUGCUCCUCCGUUCGCGCCUCUGUUCGCGCCGCCGCCGCCCCCGAGCUUUAUCCCGCGCGCCGCCGCGACGAUCUUGACGAUAUCCUCGUCCACGGCGUCACCGUCGCGCGUGGACAUCACGUACGCGUCCCUCGCCGCGGCGCAGCACGUCGCGAAGCACCGAAGUUUCUUCGCGUCCGGGACGUCGUCCAGCGACAGCGCGGCGAUGACGUUCACGAAGUAGUCCAAAUCCGCGGCGAGCUGCGCCGCGCCGAGGUCGGUCAACGCGGAGAUCCCUCUCACCUCCGUCAGCAGCAGCGACGCGGCCGCGGCCGCGACUUUCGCCAUCCACUCCCCGGCGUCGAGCUCGGGGACGUCGUCCGCGCCGCCGGGACCGGCCGCGCCCGCGACCGCGCCCGCGCCCGCCUUCGUCGGCGUCCCCGGGGGUUCGUUCCCUCGGUCCUCCGCGUCGCCGCCGGUCGACGCGCUCUCCGUCGCCGCGGCGAGACGCUUCGCGUUCCUCUCCUCCUCCCUCGCCUCCACGAUCGCGUCGAGCGUCGUCGGCAGCGACAGGAGGUACUCCCCCGCGUUCGUCAUGUACUCCUGCGGAUACGCGGAAAACGUCGGAAGGUUUAACCCGCCGGACGCCCUCGUCUCGCCCCACUCCGCGCGGCCGCGCAUCCCGCGAAGCUCGUUCCUCACCUUCGACGCGAGGACGUCGAGGACGAACUGGUUCGCCGCGUCCUCGAGCGCGCUCGCGCGCGCGAGCCCGAGCGGCAGCGGCUUGAACCGCGCGUCCGACGCGACGCGUUCGAGCAGGUUUCGAAGCUCCGCCGCGCGCGCCGGGUUGGAGGCGACGGCGCAAAACGCGGGGGUGAGAUCGUCCGCCGACUUGGCCGCGACGGGCGCGGCCGCGGGCGGCGCCUCGCCCUUCCCCGUCCCCUUCCCCGACGCGGGCCCGGGCGCCGCGAGCGGGAGCGCGUCGCGCGUCGCGAUCGCGAGCUCACGCGCGGACUCGAGCAACUCGUCCGCGAGCGCCGUCGCGCGCGUCGCCGCCGCCGCCGCGACGGUGGCGAGCUCGAGCGACGAGAUCACGCUCUCCUCCCCCGGCGCCGCCUUGAACGCCUCCCGCCCCGCGCCCGCGUCGAAGACGUCGCCGCCGCCGGUCCCGGGGCUGCCCCCCGCCCCGGGGCUCGCUCCCCCGUUCCCGCCGCCGGCGGCGCGGUCGUUCAGUUUCUUCUCCAAGGCGUCGUCUCGAGGUAACCCGGUCGCUCGUCGCAGCUUCCUCAGCGCGCGCAUCAUCCCGGUGAGAUGCCGCGCGAGCCCGGCGUCGACGGCGGUCAACAGCGCGGGGAACGACGCCCCCGCGGUGAGCGCGAUGCACCUGAUCCUCGGCUCCGCGAGCGCCUCCAUCGCCGCGGCCGUGGACGCCUUGAACGCCGCGACGACGGCGUCGAUGUCGUCGCUCUCCGGCGUCGCCCGCGCGGCGUCGACGGCGUCGGCGAUCGUCUUCGUCUCGAGCUCGCCGUACCGCGCGUGCACCGCGUCGAACGGCGCGAGCGACGCGAUCAGGGCCGCGCCGCUGGCCUCGACGCCGGAGACGUCCGCGAGGAGCGUCGCGCAGCGCGCGAAGCCCUCCCCCGCGGCGGCGUGCGCGGCGAUGAACGUCUCGAGUUUAUUCGACGACAUCCGCAGCGCGAACGCUUUGUUCACGCGCCGGCUCAGCGCGAUCCACGCGGAGCUCACGAGCGCGCCGUGCUCUUUCGGGAACGCGGUCCGCGUCCACUGCAGCUCGCGUUGGAGGCGGUCGUGAAGCUUGCGCGCGUAGCCGGGGAGCCACUCGACGAAGCGUCGCACGUCCGCGGCGGAGGGCGGCGUCGCGCGCGAUUCGUCCUCCACGCCGUCCGCGUGAAACGCGUUCCACUCGCGCAGCAUCGGCGCCACCACCCUCGUCUCCGCGUACGUCGCGGUGAGCGCGUUCAGGCGACCGGUGAUCUUGAGCACGUCCCUGAUCUCCUCCGCUUUGAUCGCGUCCGACGCGGUCAGCGCCUUGACGAGCUCCGGUUUCAAAAUCUGCUCCAGACGUCGCUCCAACGCGUCCACCUUCUCCGGCGCGUCUUGAAACUCCGGGACGCCGCCGACGACUUUAAGCGCGCGACGCAUGGACGCGAGCACGUCCGCCAUCGACCGCACGUUCCCCGCCGCGAAGACGUCCUCCACGGACGCCAUCAGCUCGGCGAGCCCCGCGGCUUCUCGCAGCGUGUCCCUCGCCGCCUCCAUGCGGCCCUUCACCGCGUCCACGCGCGUCAGCCUGCGCACGCUCUCGCGCGAGCUCCCCUCCGCGUCGUUCAGGCGCUUCAGGAUGCCCUGCACGCGCGUCUGGAGCGCUUUCGUGUCGUGCUCCACGCGGUCGAUCUCCGCGACCGCGCGAGGGAUCCGGUUCAGCCCCGCGUUCGACUGCUCCUCGAGCGCGAGAGAGAUGUCCUCCGCCGCGAGCUGGAGCUUCAUCUCGACUUCCGCGAGGAACUUCUCCACGCUCUCGUCGUCCGGGCACCUGCGUCGUGGGAAUCGCGGGGGGGGGGGGUGAGAGGGUGAGAUCGCGACGACGCGCGAAGGCGCGCGGGGCGGGGGCGGGAGGAGGAGGAGAAAGACGAGGACGAGGAGGAGGGGAGAAAUUCAUCCGCGCGCGCGCUGCCGAGACGAGACGCACCCCGCGCACGCGGCGUUCACCCACGGCUUGACGUCGAACGACGGGUCGUCGAAGUCUGCCAUGGAGAUGGACAUGACGGACGCGCGAAGGGACUCGCCGCUCCCUUCCUCUCGCGCGGAGACGCCCUUCCCUUCCUCCGGGCGCUUCGAUCUGCGCUUCGCGAAACGUUCUGUUGACGACGAGCUCUUCGUCUUCGACUUCUGAGAGUUUCCGUCGACGUCGCGUCGCGCGCGCGCGCCACAGCGACGCGCGCGUCCGCUCGGUCCGCGACGCGAUGUCCGUCGCCGCGAUGCCGCCCGCCGCGCGCCUCGCCCGGUCCGGCGUGAUCGCGAACGCGACCGCACCGCGCGGGAGCCCUCCUCGCGGCGCGGCGCGCGGUCGCGCCGGUUCGCUGACGAGCGAUCAUCGACGUCGCGUCGUCCGGUCGAUCUCCGCGACAGCGCUCGGCCGACGCGCGUCCGCGUCCUCCGCGCCCGCGCGAUGGACCGCGCGACGCGGCCGCGGCCGCGCGGCGCAGACGCGAUGGACGACCGCGAUCGCGCCCGGCGCGAGGGAGGAAUCCGCGGCGUCCACCGCGGCGGCGGACGACGGCGACGACGCGACGGCGUCGUCCUCCUCCUCCUCCUCCUCCGCGGACGCCGACGCGAUCGUCGAUCGCGUCCUCGACGCCAUCGCGGACACGGACUCGGGACGUGACGUCACCGACGCCGUCCGCGAGGCCGUGGACGCCGACAUCGUCGCGCUCGCGAAGAUCGCGUCCGACGCGAACGGCGGCGACGGCGCGCGGACGCUGACCGAUCCGCGCGUCUACGGCGACUACGACGUGUCCUACGUCUCCACGGGGCGCGCGCAGAUUGGCAACCCCGCGGGCGGGCGGUUCCGGGGCGGGAUAGGCGCGAUGCUGUUCCGAACGAUCGGUCUGGAGCAGAACCUGUACGAGCCGAACGUCGUCGUGAACCGCGUCGCGUUCCUCGUCUUCGGGUUGAUCCCGGGCGAGGUCGUCUUGGACGGGACGUUCGAGGCGAUGACGGAGGACCUCGCGGACCCGAACGCGCAGCCGGCGGCGGAGGAGGAGGAGGAGACGACGGAGACGCGGGACGGCGCGGGGGGAACUGAUACGUCACCGGGAGAAGGUGAAUCGACGCCACCCAACGACGCCGAAGGCGGCGGCGGCGGCGAGAAGGAGAAGGAGAAGGAGAAGGCGUACGAGCGCGAGGUGGUCGUGAAGAAGGGCUACGGCGUCGACGACGGGAUGACCGUCCGCGCGUUUUUCGCGCCGCCGAAGAUAAAAUUCGGCGGGUUCCCCGCGUUUUCAGUCGGCCCGAAGAGCAGCGUCGUGCUCUCGACGACGUAUCUGGACGAGCGAAUACGGCUCGGGAGAGGCAGCCGCGGGUCGCUGUUCGUGUUCACGCGGAAGACGAGAGAAGACGCGGAGAGAGACCGGAAGCGGUGGGCCGUGGGAGGGCUGGGCGUGACGGUGUUCCUCGCCGCGACGCUUGGAUUUUUCGUCGUCGCGUGGCGAAGGUUCACAGCGGGCGGGGUCACGGAGCUCUCCGUCGCGACCGCGGUCGCGGUGGUCGUCUCGUUCGCGAUGGCGCUCGUGAUGCGGCAAGGGGGGAUCAUCGCCGAGGACGCGGACUACGACGAGAAGUACGACACCGUCGUCGCGAAAGCCGCGGCGACGGCGCGUCGUCGACGAGCGGCGAACGAGGGCGAGUGACGACAGCUUGCGCUCGCGGAAUAAUAUUACUGGUACCUCGCGGCGGCUCCCUCCGUCAACUCAAAUCCACGACGUCGUCGUCCUCCAUGUCGUAGUCUUUCGGCCUCUUGACGCGUAUGUCCACGACGUCGCCGUCGAACUUCACGACCGGCGGGUUCCCGAGCUUCGACUUGGCUUUCGCGCCGUCCUCCGUCGCGAGCCAGUCGGUGAGGAUCCUCGCGAACGUCUGCCCGUCGAAGCACGUGAAGUCGUACUUCUUCCCGUCGCUCGUCUGCAUCACGACGCACAGCGCGUGGCCAUCGUCGUCUCUUCCUCCUCCUCCUCCUCCUCCUCCUCCUCCCACUGCGCCUCCCGCGGCCGCCUCGCCGAUGAUCUCCAGGUCGUCGUCGUCCACGAACGGCUCCGGAGCGGACGUCUCCGUCGCCGCGCGUCUCAGCUCGUCCAUCGCUUCUCGGUUUCGUCGCAGCGUCUCUCUCGCCUCCGCGUCGAGGUUCCCCCCUCGCGCGGCCGCGUUCGACGCCGGCGGCGGCGGCGGCGCGAGGAGCUCGCUCGUGAUCGUCGCCGCCGCGGAGGCGGCGGCGGACGUCCCGGCGGCUACAUCCGCGCGCGAGCCGAUGGACGUUCGCCUUCGCUUCGACGGGGAGAUUUCGAAGGUGUCGUCGAGGUCGUCGCCUCCUCCGCCGAACGCGCCGCCCGCGGCGCCGGCGUUCUCGUCCUCCUCGUCCGACCACACGACCUGCCUCGGACGCUUGAACACGAGCGCGUCGUCGCUGUCGCUCGAGCUGUCGCCGUCGCUCGAGGACGACAUCCUCGACGCGCGCGGCGAAGUGCCGUUGCGAUCGUUGGACGUGCCAACGGGGCAGGGUGCCUAAACCGUUUGCGAGUUUGAAAUGCGGAUAACCUCGUCACUCGCGAUGGCGCACCUGUGCCCGCGCUACCCGCAGCGCGCGAUGUUCCUCGCCGCCGCGCGCGGGCGCGCGCGCGUGCGGCGGAUGAGCGCCGCGCGCGCCGCGCUCGCGGUCCCGGAGCCGCACCGGGGCGGCGCGACGACGAGAUCCGAGGACGCGCGACGCGAAAACGUCGACGUCGCCACGGCGUCGAACAACGUCGUGCCGUUCCGACGGAAGCUCCCGGAGACGGUCCCGGACGCGCCGCCGGCGUCCGCGGAAGAAGGUGCGACGACGCGCGCUCGCGCCUCUCCCGCGUCUCGUCGUCACGACUCGUGAAGUGUUGUCGGUGUACAACUCUACCGACUAAGGGCUCUCUCACUCACACUAGUCAACAUCGCGGCACCCGCGAUCUCACCGCGCGAACGAUCGAUCGAACCUUCUCUUCCUUCAGUGCGCGCGCUCGCGUCGUUCAUCACCGCGGCGGAGCGCCUCCUCGUCAUCACCGGCGCCGGGUGCUCCACCGAGAGCGCGAUCCCGGACUACCGCUCCCCCAAGGGCGCGUACUCGACCGGGUUCAAGCCGAUGACGCAUCAAGAUUUCCUCCGCGCCGACGGCAACCGCAAGCGCUACUGGGCGCGGUCGUUCGUCGGGUGGAAAAAAUUCGCGGAGGGGACGUCGCCGAACCGCGCGCACGUCGCGCUCGCCGCGCUCCAGCGCGAAGGCCACGUGUGGCGGCUCAUCACACAGAACGUGGACAGGUUACAUCACGCCGCCGGGAGCGAGGACGCGCUGGAGCUGCACGGGACGACGCACGAGGUGAUCUGUUUGAACUGCGACGACGUCACGCCGCGGACGCGGAUGCAACGACGGCUGAUCGAGCUCAAUCCGACGUUUUUAGGGAGCACCCUUCGCGACGCGGAGGACGUCGUGAAGAGACAGAACCCGGACGGCGACGUCGAGCUCGACGGCGGCGUCGAGAAGACGUUUAAACUCCCGACGUGUUUGAAGUGCGGGACCGGGACGCUGAAGCCGAAAGUCGUGUUUUUCGGCGACUGCGUCCCGGCGAAAGACGCGAGCGUCGCGAAAGCGUGGAGCGAGCGCGCGGACGCGGUGCUCGUCGUCGGGUCGUCCGUGUCCACGUUCAGCGCGUACAAGCUCGUGAAGGAGGCGGUCACGAGAGGCGCCCCGGUGGCGAUACUCACCAACGGCGACACGCGCGUCGACGACGUCGCGGAUUUGAAAGUGCGCGCGGUCGCGGGCGAGACGCUCUCACGGAUUCUCGACGUCGUUCGCAGAGAGGAGACGUACGGGUACUGACGACGCCGAGAUUGUUGUAAAGAUACGUGUACGCGUACUGUAUGAUGAUGCGCUUUGUACAAUAUGGAAUAAAUUAGUAUAUAGAACACACACUUAAUGUACACGUACUAACACACACUUGAUGUACGAACGACGAAACCGGCUGGUACUUGCCACGUGAACUCCGCGCUCGUCCGCCGUCACUUCAACGCCUCCAACACGCUGAUUACAAUGCCGAGGAGACACUUCCCGAGCGGCUCGAUCACGCUGCCGCACUCUUUGCAGCAGUCCCCGAUCAAGGGCCCGACCGCCCCGAAGCACUCGCCGCAGUUCUCGCAGCACCCGCUCAGCAGCGGCACGACGCUCCCGCAAGCGCCGCCGAGGCAGUCGGGCAACCCCUGGCACGCACCGCAAAUCGACCCGCACGCGUCGCCGACCACCCCGGUGAUCGGCGCGCACGCGUCGAGGCACGGCUGACACAGUCCAGUCGCGAAGCCGCACGCGUCGCCGCACGUGUCACCGCAGACGUCGCAGACGGUGCAGCACCCUUCGCCGAUCUGCGACCCGGCGUUGCCGAUGACCCCGGCGAGGGCCUCUCCCGCGGAGCCGACGACGCCCGCGCCGUUCGCGAGCGUCCCGGCGAUGUUCCCGAACCCGAUCAUCGCCCCGGCGGCGCCGAGGACUAAGAUCCCCGCCGCGCCGCCGACGGCGUACAUCGCUAUCUUGCUCUUCUUACCCUUCGCCUUGUCUUUUUUCAUCUUUUCCUCGUUCGCGGGCGUGACUUCAAACGCGCACAGCUUCGUGUACGGACACGCGACGUCGUGCUCCACGGAAAUGUCGAUGAUCUCCUUCUCGAGCUUCUUAUCGUCGUAAAGCCACGCCUUGGCGACGAGGAGGUCGAUCCGCUGCUUGACGAACACCUUCUCCAGAGGCACGGUGAGCGUGUCGAUCGCGUCGUCGUUUUGCACCGCCACCGUCUGCUCCCACACGCCGCCGUCCGCGGUUCGGCCGCGAAUCGAAAUCGUCGGCGGCAGCACGCCCAUCACCUUCCCGCUCACCAUCACCGGCGUCGCGAGGUACAGAUCCGGCACCGGGAACGGGUACAGCUCCACCUCGGACCCGACCCCGACGCCGAUCUCGAUGUUGGUCAACACCGGCGACCGCGCGGCGGUGAGCAUCUUCGACAUCUGCGUCGCGAUCUUAUCGUUCGUGAACGCGGCGUCGAAUAAACCUCGUCCGAUGUUCGCGAGCAUCUUGAGGAAGUAGUGGUUGCAGUACUGCCCGAUCCCAAACGUGCACACGCGCGGGAGCGCCUCGCCCUUUUGCUGCGACUCCGCCAUCAACAUCUUGCAGAUCUCUUUCUCGUCCGACACGGCGCCGUCGGUGAUGAGGAACACGAACGGCACCGUGCCUACAAGCGAAAGUCGGGGUGGAGUUGAAAGGCGUCAGUUGGAGUUGAAAGGCGCCGAGUGCGGGUAUUGAAAGCGAGGGAUGGGCGGAGAGAUGCGACGGGCAAAGUCCUUAAGGAUCGGCGUUCACAUCGCCAACGCGGUCGUAUGGGGACCAGUGUAUAGAACGCACCGUUCCCGGCGCACCCGGCGAGGAGCUUCAGCGCCUCGCUGAGCGGCGUGUAGAUAUCCGUCGUAUAGCGCGCGACGCAGUGCUCGUUCAUCCACGCCAUCGCGCGCUCGACGUUCUUCGGCGUCGCCUGCGUCAUGGCGUUCGCGUCGAAGUACUCCUGCCCGUCGUCGAACGCGCAGAUGUUGAAGUAAUCGUGCUCCGUGAGCGACCGCAGUCCAGUCGUGAGCGCCUCGUUCGCCGCCUCCAUGGGCUCGCCGUUCAUGGACCCCGAGCGGUCGAUCACGAAGACGACGGACCGACCGAACGCGAGGCAUCUCUCCGGUUUCGGCGGCGCGAGCGCGACGACGAACGAGCUCCGCGGGUCCCUCGGCGGCGGCUGCCCGAGAAUGUGCGUCGGCCUCUGCUGCACGCACGCGGCGACGAUGUGCUCCGCCCACGUCGGCAUCGUGAGCUUGAAGUCCGCGUUCUUCCAUCCCCCCAUCGCCGCGCUCGCGCGCACUUUCUUGAACCCGGACUGUUGUUGAAUGAUCUGGAGCGGGUGCGACGUCGACGCGACGGCGACGUCGCCUUCGUACGCGCUUCGAAUCGCGACGGUGAAGGAGCACACGCCGACGUGGUCUUUAUCCCACGGCAGCGACGCCUCCGGCAUCGUGCUCGGCGCCGUGAACGCGUACGCGCCGUUCUCGAACUCGAGCGGGUGGAAGUACGUCACGCACACGUCGACGACUUCGUCCGCGGCGACGUUCGGCACCGUCAUGCAGAAGACGUCCGGAUGCUCCGGCGCGUGCUCCGUCGUGUUCCUCCCGAAGGAUUUCCCUUUGAAGUUCGUCGUGUCCUCCAGAGGGACGAUCGCGCUCGUGACGCACUUCUUCGACGACCGCGCGGUGAUCCCGGUCACGGUCAGGCCGUUCGCGAGCGGCAUCGCGAACAGGCACGAGCCGGACGCUUUCCCGUUCAGGAGCGCCUUCGGGACGGUCCACCGCGACGUGCACGUGACGAACCCGGUGGAGAGGUGGCACUCCACGUCGAAGCGAAUGGAGUCGCACACCGCGGCGUUGUAGAAAUACUCCCCCGCGUGCGGCCCCUCGGCGCACGGCGUCGUGGUGUACAGCCCGGGGCAGGACGGUCGAAGCGCGCCCUCG